rnacentral:rRNA from 1 species
CAGCACCGCGGUAACACGGAGGGUGCAAGCGUUAAUCGGAAUUACUGGGCGUAAAGCGCACGCAGGCGGUCUGUCAAGUCAGAUGUGAAAUCCCCGGGCUUAACCUGGGAACUGCAUUUGAAACUGGCAGGCUAGAGUCUUGUAGAGGGGGGUAGAAUUCCAGGUGUAGCGGUGAAAUGCGUAGAGAUCUGGAGGAAUACCGGUGGCGAAGGCGGCCCCCUGGACAAAGACUGACGCUCAGGUGCGAAAGCGUGGGGAGCAAACAGGAUUAGAUACCCGUGUAGUCCCUGUCUCUUAUACA